UUAUGGGUGGGUCUUUUUUUCUUAGUUUUCCAGGCUUAACGUUUUUGAUUUUGUUUUUUAAUGUUUGGAACAUAAAUGAAGAUUUGAUACAUUCUUUCAUUAUCUAAAAAGGAUUAAUUAUUCAUGCUCAUUGUAAGAACUUCAUUUUGUAGCAAAUGGCAUAUCACAGGAUCUGUCCAGAUAAUCGAUAUUUUCAGUAUGCAAAUGUAAAUAAUCACAGAUGAGAAUGUACUUAGCUGUAUUUUCAAAUAAGUAAUCUUCCCCCACCUUUUUUAGGACUUUAAAACUAGGCAUCAAUGAACCUGUUUUUCCUAUUAUGCCUGGAAUUUAGUCAUGAUACCUUGACUCAUUCCAUCAUAUUUCAAGAGGAUUCAGAGUACUAGAAAUUAUUUUGGUAGCCUGCAACACAUGGCAACACUGGUCCUUGGGCCUAUGACCCACAGAUGACUCAGUAUAGAGUUCAUUGCUAAUUAUAAAUUACUAGUGAAUCUUUUUGAUAUUUUAAGCUCUAGUGGGAAAAAUCUGGCCACUUUUGUGUUUUUAUGAAGGCCAUGGAAUAAAAGGAUCCAAAGAUUUAAAUAUUUUUAUCUAAUAUUUUGAUUGUUUUGUUAACUUUCUCAAAACAUUCAGUAGUGAUAAGGAUAUAGAAACUGCACUGUAGGAGAAUUGGAAUAUUUAAGGCUGGCUGACAUUUUUUAUUUUAAUUUUAUAUCUUUUGUAUAGCUCUACAAGGCAGUGUUUUGUAAUGUGGUUUCAUUAUGAAGAUCCAGUACUUGGCAGCCAUAGUUGAGAUAAUAUUGUUCAGUGCUGUUUGCUUGCAUGUCAACAACAAAACCUUUUAGAGGACCCACAAAUCAUGAUAUUGAACACAUUUCUGAGGCAUUCAGAGCAUCAAAGCAAAUACCAUGGCAAUACAUGUGUAGACUGUUUGAGAUGUCCCAGGCCAAUUUCAAGAAAGAAAACUGUAAAUACUAGUUCUACUUGCUCUGAAAUUAUUAGUUCAUGCGUUUUCCCAGCCCUCCGAAUCACUGACUGGGGCGUUUUGUGCCCCAACAAUAACUGGCAGCAUGGCAUACCUGCAGUACACCUUACAAUAUUAAAGCAAAGUUUUUAUUCUAAAACAGAAUAAAACUGUUCAAUAAAAAA
rnacentral:lncRNA from 1 species